rnacentral:rRNA from 1 species
GAUGAACGCUGGCGGUAUGCUUAACACAUGCAAGUCGAACGGACUCUUCGGAGUUAGUGGCGGACGGGUGAGUAACGCGUGAGAAUCUGGCUUUGGGUUCGGGACAACCACUGGAAACGGUGGCUAAUACCGGAUGUGCCGUGAGGUAAAAGAGAAAUUGCCUGAAGAUGAGCUCGCGUCUGAUUAGCUAGUUGGUGAGGUAAAGGCCCACCAAGGCAGCGAUGAGUAGCUGGUCUGAGAGGAUGACCAGCCGCACUGGGACUGAGACACGGCCCAGACUCCUACGGGAGGCAGCAGUGGGGAAGUAUCCGCAAUGGGCGAAAGCCUGACGGAGCAAUACCGCGUGAGGGAAGAAGGCUCUUGUGUUGUAAACCUCUUUUCUUAGGGAAGAACAAAAUGACGGUACCUAAGGAAUCAGCAUCGGCUAACUCCGUG